rnacentral:rRNA from 1 species
UACGUAGGGUGCGAGCGUUGUCCGGAAUUAUUGGGCGUAAAGAGCUCGUAGGCGGUCUGUCGCGUCGGUCGUGAAAACUUGGGGCUUAACCCUGAGCUUGCGGUCGAUACGGGCAUGACUGGAGUUCGGCAGGGGAGACUGGAAUUCCUGGUGUAGCGGUGAAAUGCGCAGAUAUCAGGAGGAACACCAGUGGCGAAGGCGGCUCACUGGCCCGAUACUGACGCUGAGGCACGAAAGCGUGGGGAGCAAACAGG